ensembl:lncRNA
GAUAUGAUGGUGUGGAAAUAAUGCUUCGAGCUCCUGCAUCUUGGGGUGCUUGCUCUUCAAACCCAGACACUGUGCUCUAAGGAAGGCAGUCAUGGAGAGGUCUCUGUGAAGAAGAGCAGACGCCAAGGUGGAAGUUGCUCACACCUUUUUGACAAAAGAUAAAACUGAAGCUUGGAGGAAAUAAACAUUGUGCCCAAGAUCUGGCUGCAAGCACAAGACUGUUCGAGCUCAGAUCUGACCACAAAGAAAUCCUGCAUAGUACAGCCUGGGCUACUCCACAAACUACUGCUCCCUACUGUUCCCCACCUCAAGCAUAAAGCACAGAUAAAGAGUGGGACACAUGUGGGAAGAAGAGAUUUGAGAAUGUGAAUCCCAGCUCAUCUUCUCUAGUAACUAUCAAAACAAUCUUUAGAGCCAGUAGGAAAAUGUGUUCAGCAAAAUUUCUGCCUGGGUUCAGCACAAAGUCAAGAAUUCCACAGCAUUUUUCCAGGUACGAUCAAGGGAUAUGGUCAGUCUGGAAAGUGAGACAGGCACACUUUCCUUCUAUAGACAUUUUACUGGCAUGGUGCAGGGGACUGCCAACCCAAAGAGGGGGUGCUAACAGACAUUUUCUCAAACACAAACAUGCCACAUCAUGUCUCCCAUGCGAUUAUUUAUGUAAUAAAAGUAUCACCUAGCAUCAGACUUAUGUAUAGAGGGGGGCUAUUUCUACUUGGAAAUAUAUCUUCCUCUCUGGAAUUGAAGGCAAGCUGUUGAGGGACUACGCAUCUUUAGAGCCAAAAUUUCAUUGAAAAUUAUACAAUUAUUCUGCAUUGGAUGAGAGGGAGGUGGAAAGUGAAAAUAAGCAAAGGAGGAAGGAGAAAACAGGUGCUUAAUGGAAGAAAUACCAAGAAAAGUACACUUGUGUAUGGGUGAGGGGUGGAGGGCAAAAAAAAAAAAAAAAAAACACAAGAAGUACAAUAUAGAAUGGAAUGGUUCAGAUGUAUUUUGAAUUAUUUUCUUUAUUUUGUGUAAUAGGAUCUUUCCAGAGACACCUGCCUUUUUCCAAGCUCUCAAGAAACAUUUGCUACACUCACGAAUACUUUGUGCUUGCAUAUGCUAGUGGGUCCAGAUGGUUGGAAUCAUCAAUUGAAAACAAAGAGAACACUAAGAAAGCAGCAAGGGAGAGAGAUACCAAGUGGCAAUUAGGGAUGAGACAGCUAAAAUGGCUUCAUGAUGGUCUAGGCUGUGUGUUGUCAACCUGCUUCCAAAGAUGCACACCCACCCAAAGCGAUCCUGCUGAGUUCCUGAUGAGCAGUCAUGAGGCUUGCUUCAGAUGAUGGACCAAAGAAGGGGCUAAAGACUAGCAAAUCAAGGACUCCGUAAUACCCAAGGAUGCCCAUGAUGCUGUGCUGAACACAGGCUGGGUUUAGCAAUUUCUAACUUCCACAUUGAAAUCAUGGAGAAGUUGAAUUUAGGCGGUUCUUGUGGAAAAAAAAAUACAUACAUAUAUAUAAAUUUGGCCAUUUUAAAUAUAUUGGAUUUUUAAUUAAACAAAAGCUGUUGACAUCAUUACCCACCCCCGCCAAAAGAAAGAAAAAAAAUCCACCCACCCAAUCUGUUGUCCCUAAUUUUAAAAAGAUCUCAAAAGUUUCUUUCUACUGUACUUACAUGCAAAGGUGAAACCACAUCCAAUUAGAUUUGAGGGUAUCAUUUAUUCUGUGCAGAGCCAAGGACUACUGUGAAAAAAGGCAUCGAUACAGAAAGAAAAAAGAGCAGCAAUAACAAACUAAACAGGCCUGGGGGCAGUGGUAGAAAAAGUUGAGAAGCAACACAUUAAAAAAAAAUAGCUUCUAUGUUUCCUUUGCCUUCCUAUUCCCUGCCUCUCCAUGUGACAUUUUCCUGUGAAAAAUUUAAUACAAAAAAAAUUCAAUCAAUAAUCUUGGAAUCAAAAAGUCAACUGUGUGCCUUUCAUUGUUAGGUUCAUUUUAGUGAUGCAAGACGCAGAAUUUUUAAAGGUGGAUGUUCUGUCACAAGGCACAAAAAAUGCUCAAGCAAGCAGGGGUUGGAACAAGCAAACCACAGACAUUCAGGCUUUUAUUUGGGGCGCAGCACAUGAGCAGAUGCAGCCACGGUUAGAGUCAGCUAGUGCUUGGCUGCUCCACGCUAGCUCCAGUCCACCGCUAAUAAAACAAAGCAAAAACAGAAGAUGCGCA